rnacentral:lncRNA from 1 species
CUGAGCCCCUGUAGUUGUUCAGCGAGGUCCUGCCGGUCACGCUCCACGGCCUGCAGCCGCACCUCUAGAGCCGCUUUCUCUCGUACUAGGGCCUCCUUCUCCUGGACUGCCCUGGCAAGCACUUCUUCCUGUCGCUUUGCCUCCUGAUGUAGCUGCUCCAGCUGAGUCGUGGCUGCCUCCUGCUGGUGACGUGACUGAGGGGAAGAAUGUGGUGAGAGAUGGAGCAGAGGCUGGAUUCCCCUGGGGCCGCUACCACCAGGUUAGGGUCAUUGCCUCUUCAGAGAUUCUGGACCCAGCUCUGUGAGCCCGGAUUGCUUACCCAAUAGCACGUGGCAUUUAUCUAUUUCCCUGAUCCGCCCACAGAGCCCCCAGCCCAGGAAGAAUGCUCCCCUGUGAGCAAGACCCUGUGCUAGGGACAGCAGAAGACCUGCCCCUAAGGAGGUUUUGGCCUUGAGAAGAUGCACACAUAAUACUGGGAAGAAAGUCAUCAAUGUCCCGAGAAAGGGACUCUGUGAAGGGAGAGUCCGUACAAUUAUUAGGACAAUGAGAGGUUUUGUAGAGGAGAAAGAUGACCUUUGAGCCAGGUCAUUCAUUGGCUCAGGAAAAAAAUUUACUUGGCCCCUGUUAUGUGGUAGGCACUAUGCUAAAAGCUGGAGAAAUAAAAACAAAUAAGAUAUAGCUUUGCCUUCAAGGAGCUUUUGGUCUAAUGGUAGAGACAUAUAAACAGAUAAUUAUAGCAUGAGGAAUGUGGUAGUUAAAAUAAGCAUGAGGUGCUAUCAGAGUAUAAGGAGAAGCUUCUAAUUCAAACUGGGUGGUGUGAAUGAAGUAGUGGAGAAUCAGUGAAGAAUUCUUUUUGUUUUUUUGAGCAGUGUCGCUCUGUCAUCCAGGUUGGAGUGCAGUGGCGCAAUCUCGGCUCACUGCAACCUCCGCCUCCCAGAUUCAAGAGAUUCUCCUGCCUCAGCCUCCCGAGUAGUUGGGAUUACAGGCAUGUGCCACCAUGCCGGGCUAAUUUUUGUAUUUUUAGUAGAGACAGGGUUUCACUAUGUUGGUCAGGCUGGUCUCGAACCUCUGACCUCGUGAUCCGCCCGCCUCGGCCUCCUAAAGUGCUGGGAUUACAGGCAUGAGCCACUGCGCCCAGCCUCAGUGAAGAAUUGUUAUAGGCAUUCUUUUUUAAAAUUGGAAGAUAUACUGCAAACUAGUAACACUGGUCAUUUCUAGGAAGUAAGACUUUUUCACUUUCCAGAUAAUUUCUGUAGUGUUUUAAUUUUUUAUAAUGAGCAUAUAUUACACCUAGACAUGAUGGUGUCCAUUUUGGCUUCUCACCUCACUUAGUUUCUUUUGAAUUUCUUCCUUCUCUUCUUGGAUGUCCCUGAGAUCUGCCUGCAGCUCAGCCCCAGCCUCCUCAGCUUUCUGCAGCUGAGCCUCCAGACCUACAUUUGGGAGCUGAUCCGUCUUGCUCUCAGUUAGGGCCCAGCCCUUCUGUGGGGACCAGGAAAAUCUUUGCUCACCUGGAGAAGCUGCUGGUUCAGCCCAACUUUAUCUAACGCCAAAGCCUCAUUUAAGGCACUGAGCUUGACAGCUGCAGCCCGAAGAUCAGCUACUUCUGUCUUCAGGGUGUUUUCAGAACUCGACAGCUCUGCAAUUGACUGCUCUGCCUAAAAAACAAAAAGGAUUAAAGAGUUUCAUAUUUCCAAUUUUCCUGGAACAGUAAACAGUUCACAUUCCCAACA